GUUUCCUUUAUAUCCAACAAAGUAGGUUCUACUGAAGAAACUGAAGACAAGCUACUUAACUCAGAAUCAUACACUUCUUUACUCGAGGACUCGAUGGUUCUUUCUAUUAAGGAUGGUUGUAACCGUUUGGAGUCAGGUCAGUCCCUGGCUGUGGCUCAUCACUUGGGGCUUCAGUGACUUUUCCAUUCUCUUUGGCUGAUCAAAACAAGAAAACAUACCGGAAGACAUUUUUUACACUGGGCAGAAAGAAGCAAUACCAGUUAACAGAAAAGUUGUGAAGCCCAUUUGUAUUUCCCCAAAGAGCUGUUUAGAAAUACAAACUGACUUUCAUAUUAAGUUUUAAAAUGUUUAAACGGGAUUCAUUGCACAACACAGGUUCGAGGCUGACCUCGAACUUGAGAUUCUCCUGCUUCAGCCUCCCACUCUGUCGGAUUAUGGGUGUGUGUCGCCUUGGCCAGCCUUAAGAUCUAAUUAAGAACUAGAAAUAAAACUCCACAAAUUCUAAAACAGCAGAAAAAAAUCUUUAUAACAUCAUUUACCCUAAUUAAAACAAACCACUAGUAUUAUUAAUUCCUUCGACAGUAAUUAUAAUGACAGGCUCCUAAAUGGGUAUACACUUAUGUAAAAAAAGAUCCUUCCCGCCUUACCUCUCCUCAUCAAAUGCACUGAUAAAUACCACACACACACACACACACACACACACACACACACACACACACACACACACACAAAAAACAACUAAAGGGUAGGAGUAGAGCAAAGAAAGAGGCAGCUGAGGGAAAAAAGGCUUGGGGGUCCGGGGUUGACCACCAGUUUCCUUACUGCCUUCUGGGAUGAGAGGAAGCUCCGCCUUCUUCAUUGCUCUAGGCCUCCCUGGUCCCUUGACCUCUCUGCUUGCUGCCUUCCAGACCGCGGAUGUCUCACCCAACUUGUCACCUUCUGUCUCUUCUCUCCCAGAAGCCUGGGCCACCAUCCUCCGCUUCUGCCUGCUCUCCUCCUCGCGCCCCCUGGCCUCCAGGCUGCAGCCUCCCCCCUCGCCUGGCUCUGGCGUCAGUCGAAGGCCUCGCUUUCUCAGGCCCCCGGUGGCGCCUUGACGCCCUGGCGCCGUGGUGGGGACUGGGGGCGUUGUUGGCGGCCGCAUCCGCCCGUGGCCGCCCACGCAGCCUCUCUGGAAAGCCCAGACGCCCUAGGGCCGCUGCUCCCGCUGCAGGACACAGGCUACUGCCCACCCUGGCCUGGCCUGGCUUCGGACCCUGUACCCGACGCAACAGGAAGCGGAAGUGGACGGCCUGGGCUCGGCUGGGGGCAACCGGCUGAGGGCCUCGUGGUCAGCCCGCCCGUCCACAUGCUCCCUCGAAGGGCCCAGGCUGCACCCGGAGGUGACAGGAUCUCACCUCAGGCAGGGCCUCACUGCACAGAAUCGCUGAGACAGUGAAAUAUUUUGCAACAAUCAGCAUUAAAAAAAGAAGAAGAAGAAAGAAAGAAAAAGAAUAGCCCAACUGUACCAGGAAGUAGUCCAUUUUCAGUCAGCUCACAGGGUACAUUCAAGGCUUGCAGACAGGAACCCAGCAUGACCGUCCUCUGAGAAGCUCCACCCAGCAGCCUAUGGAAAGAGAUGCAGAGACUCACAGCCAAGCAGUAGAUGGAGCUCGGGAGUAAGAAGUAAGCAGAAGAGCUGGGAGAAAGACUGAGGGACACGGAGAGGACAGGGACUCCACGGGACGACCAAUAGAGCCAACUAACCUGGACUGAACCACCAACCAGAGAGCAGGCACAGGCAGGCUGGACCCUAGGCCCCAUGUAGCAGAUGAGCAGCUUGGUCUUCACAGAGGUCCCCCAACGUAGCAGGGACUGACCCUGAGCCUGGUGCCUGCUUGUCUGUGGAGCCCGCUAACUGGACAGCCUUGUCUGGCCUCAGUGGGACAGAAUGUGCCUAGUCUCACAGCCACUUGAUGUGCAGGGGGUGGGGGUGUGGUUGACACUUGGAGGGUGGAAUAGGGAGGACUUAUAUGAGGGGGAACUGGGAGAAGAGGAAAGGCUGAUAAAGGAUGUAAAGUGGAUGAGUAAAUGCAAUUAAAAAAAAGCUUACCACUUCCUGCAGCACGGACUGCUAAGAAAGGCAGGGUUGUACCAUCUUGAUUCUUUCCCUUAGGCGUUAUCCACCCAAGUGGAGGGUCUGGAAUGUUCUGGGGCUGGGAUUGAUGAUGCUUUCAGUGAGGCACAAUGUACUUUGGAAUGAAGGACACACUAUGGGCAGACACGUGUGGCUUGGAGUGGUGCUCUGGUGGAGUUACGAACUGAGAAGAGAACCCCAAACUGUGCUCCCCCAAACACUGAGCUCCAAGUAGGCCUUUGCAGAAUUUGCAGCUUCGGCCUUUGAAGGUCAUAUAUAAACCUCAAAAGAACCUUCUGGUAUCAUGCCAAAUCCAAAUCGACUUUCUUCUAGGCCUUAAAAGAUUCCCUCAUUUUCUCAGGAUGUGACCUCGUUCCAUAUUUUACAAGGUUUCGAAUCACAUUCCAUUACGAAGCCCUUCAAACAAGGUGAAGGCCUCGUAUAAAGGACUGUGUGUCGGUGCUGGGGGCACCUCGUUAGAGACACCAGGGUAGACGAUUCUGAGAAUUUGGAGGGCUUUCCUGGGUCACUGGGAGUGACCAGCUUCUCCGCAUCAUGACACGGUGGCUCAGGGGACAGACUUCAGGGCCUAGGUUUGAACAGCAGGGACACUGGUGACCGAUGGCACGGAUGUUACCUUGGUGGCACUUUCUGUUAGCGUGGAUCCACAGCUCACUUGAUAGGAAAAACAGAGGAAUGGGGCAGCGCCUGGCAGAAGACCCACUCUACCAGUAGCUAUAGAUACAACACCCCCAAAGGGGGAUAAAAGAUGCAGGAUUAAAUAAAACGCAAGGGAGGCUCAUGGAGGAUGCUCAUGGCUUGGGCACACUCACCCAUUCAUUGAGCAGACAUUGUCUUUUUCAGUGCCCAUUGAGCCGGGAGAAGGCUGUAACAGUCAAUGAGCAGAAGCCCUGCCCCCAGGCAAAGACAAACCCUGCAAUGGAAUGCAGAAGGGUGGAAGGCUCCAAAGGAUAGGGACUGCUUCCUGCCACAGUCAUGGACCAGCAUCUACCUGUUCCUCUCGACUGGGAAACUAGAUCUUUCUGAAGUAUCUAUGAGGACACCAAUCAGGCAUCACUCACGAGAGGGUGGGCUGGGCAUCUAAAGCCGGGGCACGGGGAGGGCAGGAGGAUCUCGGAAGAGAGUAGAUGGGAACUUGGAGAGGAUUAGGAGAGGACUUAAGGAGGUUUAGGAAUGUUAGGGACAGGAGAUUGUCGGAAGCAAGAAGCUCUUCUUUCCAACUCUAAGGUGACAGAGACCUAAGUGGCUCUGGUUCGCCCGGGAUCUGUCUGGGUGACCUUCACGCACAGCAGUGUUUGCAGAGGUUUUGUUCUGGCUUUUGUCCACUUCCUAUGGGGCCCCAGCACAAGCCUUCGUGCAAACAGUUUGCAGCACAGGGAUAAGGGUGUCCUUAUCCUACGCAAACGCAGAGAGGGAGAUCUUUAUUUUUCCUUAGUAUGUCAGAAAGGAUACUAUACAGCUCUUAAGAGUCUGCCUGGGCUCUGAAAAAAAUAGUGCCACAAGUAAUUUUGUUAGACACAAAAAUAUACAAGUUCAGGAGACCUUAGGUCUUCCGGUCUAAAGGGUCUCUGGCUAUGACCUGGGGCUAGAAAACCACUAGCCAACACAAGUAACAGCAUGUGUGUGACCUUACAGGGGCCUCUGACAUCUCAGUGCCCUAGUGACACCAAGUGUGUGGCUUUGGUCAGUCUUUGUCACAGACAAGCUCAUACGUAUGUGUGCAUGCGUGCAUGUGCCCAGUGGAGAGCUGUGGAAAUCUUGCUGUCAGAGGAUGGAGUCAGCUGUGUAGGGAAUCUGGGACCAUUUGGGACACAAACACAAGCUGCCCCUAGGGGAGCCCUUAGCAGAUUACAGUGGAGUCACUCUCUAAGACAAUCACUCUGUAACCUCUUCUUCCUCCUCCACUGCCCAAGUCAAAGACACCAUUGCUAAUGAGGUGGAGAGUUGACUCAGUAAAGUGCUUUCAGGCGUGAUGUGAUGGCCUGCAUAUGCUUGGCCCCAGGAGUGGCGCUGAUAGAAGGUGUGGCCUUGUUAGAGGAGGUGUGUCACUGUGAGGGUGGGCUUGGGGACCUCCUAGCUGCCUGAGGAUGCUCAGUCUGUUCUUGGCUUCCUUCGGGUGAAGAUGUAGAACUCAGCUCCUCCUGCACCAGGCCUGCCUGCAUGCUGCCAUGCUCCCGCCUUGAUGAUAAUGAACUGAACCUCUGAACCUGUAAGCCAGCCCCAAUUAGAUGUUGUCCUUUAUAAAACUUACAUUGGUCGUGGUGUCUGUUCACAGCAAUAAGACUCUAACUAAGACACGUGACAACCUGAAUUAGGUCCCUAGCACCCACCUGAAAGCCAGGCAUGGGGGCACACGUGCUGGAGAGGCAGAAUCAAGAGGAUCCCCAGGGCUUGCUCACUGGCCACCCUAGCUGAAUUCAUGAGCUCCAGGCUCAGUUAAGACUCUUAUUGAGAGAACAAGCUGGAUGGUUGGUGGGUUGGCUCAGUAGGUGAAGGUGCUUGUUGCCAAACCUAGGACCCACAGGAUAGAAGGGGGAACCAACUCUUGCAAGUUGUUCUCUGACCUCUACAUCAGCGCUCUCAACCUUCCCAAUGCUGCAGCCCUCUAAUGUACAGCUCCUCAUGUGGUGGUGACCCCGACCACGAAACCAUUUUUAUUGCUACUUCAUCACUGUGUUCUGAUGGUUUUAGGUUGACCCCUAGGAGAGGGUCAUUUGCUGGGUCAAUGACCCCUGGGUGGAGAAUCCAUCACUCUACCCGUGUGUUGGCAGCACGAAUACACAGAGACACUAAACAAGUGAAUAGAUAUGGGUCUGAGGAGAUGGUUAUGAGGUUUAAGAACUUUUCUUUUUGCCCUUUCGGAGGUUCAGCUCGCAGAACUCAUAUGCCCAUUCAUAAUCCCUUUAUCUGUAGUUCCAGAAGAUUCGAUACCGGUCUUUGGAACUCCUAGGGCAACUGCACACACGGCACACAUAAACUCACACAGGCACACACGCAUACAUGAAUAAUAAGUACAGUUUAAAUUGAGGAAGAUACCCCUGGCUUACGUACCCUUCCACCCCCACAUACGCACGCACAUCCACACCCACACAUGUACACAAUUUAAAGAAAAAGUAACAGAAAAGUAAAAAGGGAAGGAAACAAAGGGGGAAAGGGCCCAGUUCUAUAAUCUCCGUGCGUUUCCAGACCCUCUGAGGAGACAUUCAAUUAAGAGCCCUCAGCCUGUCUAAGGGCCUGGGAACAUCUUCCCUCACCCUGGGAGACCUGUUUGUGCUGUUGCCUUUGUGGGAAGCUACUGCUGCCCAGAGUUGGUGCUCUCUUCUGAAGUUGAGCUAUUUGUGUCACAAUCAACAUCAGCUCCAGUUACACCACCAGGGCAGGAGCUGGAGAGUGGCCACCUGUGGUCUGGAGACAGCUGGAGGAGUCCUGGGUGACCCUGGGUGGGGAGGUUGGCUCCCAGGCAGGUGCUCUUGCUGGUGUCCUGGUACUCAGGUGUCUGGAUGCUUGCUGCUUGCUGCUGCCAGAUGCCUGCAGUGCAGUGAGACCCUGGUGUUGUGAAGUAGCCGUUCUCUGAUUGGCAACGGCCUGAUUCACAACACCAGCUGUCCCACAACACCAUGCCAGAGGUCUCUGAAGUGGCCAGUGUAGAACGUGCGUGCGUUGCUGCUGGGUGGUCCUAGGAGGGCAGAUAGUUGAUGAUCCGUGGGCUGCUCUGCGUGCUGCUGCUGGAAGGAGGUGGAGACAGGAUGACAGUGAGGAGUAAGACAGGACCAGGAUGGUGCCAGAUCUUCCUUUUAUUUCCUAUAGCAGAGGCCUGUGGAGUGUGUGUGUGUGUGUGUGUGUGCGCGCGCACAGAUGUGCGAGGGUGAGAGAGUGCAUAUGUGUGAGUGUGUGCGAGUGUAUUUGUGAGUGUGUAAAUGUGUGUGAGUGUGUAUGUGUAUAAUGUGUGUGUGAGUGAAUGUGUGUGAAUGUGUAUGUGUGAGUGUGUGAAUGUGUGUGAGAGUGUGUGCAUGUGAGUGUGCGUGUAUAUAUGUGUGUGUGGUCAAUCUUUUUGUCAUUCCUCAGGAGCCAUCCACACAUGACAAGGAUAACAGCUGACUCAAACUGUCAGACAAACAAAAAAAAAAAAAAGAAAGAAAAGAAAAGAAAAGAAAAACCAAACUGAGAUAGUUAUCAAGUAGCCCUCAGGAAACCCAGGGAUUGGGGAGAUGUCUGUUGAUAAAAUGCUUGCUGCAGGGACCUAAAUUAGAUUCCUAGAAUUCACAUAUAAGCCUCACAUAGUGGUGCACGUUUGUAAUUCCAGCACUGGGAGGUGGAGACAGAUGGAUCCCUCAGCCUAACCUACUUGGUGAGUUCCACCAACCAGAGACCCUUCCUCAAAAGCUGAGGAGGAUAGUGUCCUGGGAACCAACACCCAGGGUUGACUUCUGAACUACAGACACACACACACACACACACACACACAGACACACACACACAGACACACAGACAUACACACACAUUUACACAUAUACUCAUAUACUGUCACUCACAUGCCCUCACACACACAUAUUUACACAUUCACACACUCACAUAUAUUCAUACACACACACACACACACACACACACACACACACAGAUCACAGAUGUGCAUGUGAACGUCAGAGGUCAACCUAGGAUUUCCUUCCUCAGAAGCUACCCACUUUGUCUGUUUGAGACAGGGUUAAUUGCUGGCCCAAGCACUGACCCCAUGAGGCAAGGCUGGCUGGCCAGGGAGUCCCAGGACAGUCUUGUCUCUACUUCUCGGUGCUGGGAUUAUGGGGCUUAUGUUUUCAUGGAUGUGUAGUGAGCACUUCACUGAUUGGGCCAUCUCCCUAGCCCUCUGACCUUUAAAACUCUGUUCCUCUGUUGGGGCAAGCCUGACGAUGUAGAACCUUAGAAAUGGCGGCUGGCGGAGUGCAAUCUCAGCGUUCCAGAGGCAGAUGCAGAGGAUCCUCAGAGCAAGCUGGCUAGCUGGACUAGUCCAUUCUGGUGAGCUCUGGCCCUGUGUCAGUGAAAGAGGUAGAGAUCUGUUUAGGAAGACUCCCUUUGUCCACCCUGCCUCCCUCAAACCACCCCCCCCCCAAGCCAGUUGGGAGGGAAUAUCCCUUUUGCCAUAGCUACCUACAACGAAACAGACCACAAGAGAAAAACCCACUUCCAAAUGCAAGGGAAGGCAGGUGCUGUGUAAAUGGCCCAUGAUGCCUGGGGCCUGGGACUUUUGAAUCUCAGACCUGUUCCAGCUCUGCAGCUCACUUUGUUUCGAGGGCUCUUUCUCUUCUUUUUAUUUCUUAUCUUUAUUCUACAUUCCUGGUCCAGUUCUUUGUUGAAGUACACAAGAAGCUGGUGUCAUUCAGUGGGUAUCAUUCACACCCGGACUCACACCUUUUUAUGCUCCACAUGGCCUAGGCAUUCUUGUACGAAGGCCGUGGCUCUGGGUUUCCUGGCUUCUGUCUGGUCUGCAUGGUGGGGCAUUACUCUCCAUGGACAGCUUACCAGCCACACACAGUAAAGAGCUGGUGGGUAAAUACCAGGCUCUUUUGCUCUUUGGUUGGAAUGAGCUGAGAUGUGUUUUAUGGGACCCCCUCAGGGGUCCCCACCUGCCUACAUUCUUCUCCUCCCCCACACUGCCCAGCAUCCAGCUGUCUGUUGUAAGUGUAUUGAUUUGGAAUGGGUAUAGGUUACACCGUUCCUAUGGUAACCUGCAGUAGGGCAGUCUGGGGCAAUGCAUGGAUCUCUGGGUGCUCACUCACCCUGUUCUGAGAAUGAGCCAGACUGAAAUGUCACAUCCCGGGAGUCUUGCAGGCUUACCCUAGUCCCACACAGACUUUCAAGGAAUCAGAAUAUACAAGUCAGGCCAACAGCUGGGACAGGUAGGCAUUUUCUUCUUAAAUUAUACAUAUUAACAUAUAUAAUUAUAUAUUAAUAUAAUUUUAUAUAAUAUAUUAUAUAUUUAAUUAUAUAUGUAUAUAUAUUAUUUUAUGUGUUUUGCAUGUGUGUGUAUGCAUCAUGUAUGCACAGUGUCUGCAGAUGUUUGAAGAGGGUUUCAGAUCCCCCCCCAGAACUAGAGUUAAAUGACUGUUAGCUGCCAUGUGGAUGCUACAAGUUGAACCCGGGUCCUCUGGAAGAGUAGCCAGAGCUCUUAAUUUCUGAGCCAUCCCUCCAGACCUGAGUGCGGAGUCAGUAAAGGGCCUGUGUGAUAGCAGGCGCCAAGGACGAGUGGUUAUCUGGAGGCGGCCGGCUUGCACUCACACAUCUUGGCAGAUGCUGGAGAUAGGAUGUGCAGGAAUGAAGUCCUGGUUCACACAGGCUCCUGGGCUGGAGGGGCUGGGCGUGGAUUUUAUUAGCACCGUUAAUAUUACAUGCAAAUUGACUUUUUUCACUUUGGCCACAGCGAUCCAUUAAUUCAGGUCCUGUCUGCUGCAUCUUUAUCCCCAGCAGGUUAAUCCUGCCAAUGCCUUUUCUGGAGCUCGUGUCACGCUGCGCUUGUGUGUUAACAAAGCAACUGUCCUGAUCCCUUCACAUGGGCUCCGUGGCCCUGUCUGGUCACGGCAAUGGUGGAAGGAAGGACACAUAAGAUUUUUGUCAUGAUCUCUCUGCUGCCUGUCCUACCUCAUCUUGUUUUUCUUUCUUUCUUUUUGAAUCAAUACAGUUUUCAUUAAAUGGACCUAAGGUCACGUGUUGGACAUCUGCCAAGGCUGAUUGUGUUUUUGUGGGCAGGAAAGUCAAAGCUCUUGGUGAUCUCAAAAACUUUUUCCAGCAGUCCCACAUGGCCACCAGUUAAACGUGCCAAGGACAGCUUAAAACGGGAAGCUGGGCUCUCUGGCUUUCGCCAUCAGUAGACAGGUUAGAAGCAUGCCCAGAUCCCAUAGCAUGUGUGUCGCUAAGUCCUUGGAUUUGAACCUGGGUAUAUCCCCAGAGGAGGGUGUGGGGAUGUGGCUCAGUUGGUAGCGUGCCUUCCUAGCAUUCAGGAAGCCCUGGGUUCUUUUUGCAGCACCUCAUGAGUUGGGCGUGGUGGUACAUGCUUAUAAUCCCAGUAUCCAGAGGUAGAGACACUAGAGAAUCAAGUUCAAGGCUAGCCUCAGCUACACAGUUGAGUCCCAGGCCAGCCCAGGCUUCAUGAGACCCUGUGUUGUAGAGAAGCAAACAUUAAAACAGAUCCUAGGGAAGCUAUCUUCUGCUCUGACUUGGAGCACGUGGUUUCUUUUCCUGGCCUUCAUGGGGGCUCAUUUAUAAAAAGGCCAUACCACAAACCCUCUGCAUAUGACAGGUCCGGGGAUUUGGUCACUGAGACAUGUUAGCCAUGCAGAAUACAUGUUAGCCAUGCAGAACAGUAUUGGCAUAUACUCAGCAAACAUCAGGGGAAGGAGAGCUCACACUUGCAUGGGUCUGGAAACUGAUCGCGCCUACACUGAGUAGGUGGUAAAGUGUCACACAGGCAUGUCUUUGAGGAUCUUCAGACAGGAACUCCACUCUCCUAUCUGAUCAUUACAGAAACAAAGCAAUGAGGAAACCUGUUUACCUCACUUCUUCCUGUGGCGUGGCCUUCUGCAUCAUCCUGGCAGACUUUGGUGGGCCUGAGGAUGCACUGUAAGGAAAGUAAGCACAGGCCCAGUGAUUCUAUCCCAGCCCCUGGGUCGCUGCUGUGACUCUGGGCAAAUUAGUUAACCUGAGGCAGGAGGGUCUUGAGUUCCAGGUUAGGCUGGGCUACAUACCAAGACCCUGUCUCAAAAACAAAACCAAACAAAAAGGCAAACAAAAUAACAACAAAACACCAAACACAACAACAACAACAACAACAAACACACCAAAGAAUAAAAUAAAUGACCCAAAGCAAUAGCCUCAACCCAAAAGGUAGAGCUGAAGAACCUGCCUGGCAUACUUCUAAAAACACAGGAAAUACCUCUUGUGGCUUUGUGGCUAUGGAGUCCCCUGCAAGGGCUUUGUUUCUGAUCCUCACCAGCUUUGUGCUUACUAGUCCAUGACUCUACCAACUGAACUACAUCCCUGGGUUCCUGCCUUCUAGUCUCUCCACAGCAUUCAUGGAGAGACCACUACACUGGAGGAGGUGAAAACCCACUAACAUAGCACUGGGCUUCUGACUCAGGCUCAGGAAGUAAAGUGGCCAUACCGUUGUCUCAUCAUGGACGAGUUACCGAACGGCUUGUGUCUGAACAGCCUAAGCCCCACGCAGCCUGUCUGUUGACUUGAGCAUAUGGGAUGUACUUUUAACUUGUGGCAUUCAUGUGUAUAUUUGAAACUGCCCCAAAUGAGGCACGGCUGACCACGGACCUGCUGUGAAUGUUCACAUGUCUUCCUAAUGGCCUUGACAUAGAGCUUUAAAACAACCUGGGGUCAGAUGUGUCAUUUCAGGAUUCUCCACCUUUGCCGUGAAGACAAACUUAUUUUGGUAGAGGCAGGUACAGUACACUGCCUUCAGCAACCCAGCCACCCCCACUCCUUUCUUUUCCUCUCCCAGAUCCUUAUAGAGCUCCUCAGAACCCACACUAUGCCCUUGUCAUCAGAUUCUGCACCACGUUGUUACCUUUUCUUAAAAAGAACAAAACCAUUUGUUUGUUUGUUUGUUUAUUAUGUGGGGGGUGUGCAAACCAGGGAGCUUGUACAGAGGUUAGAGGACAACGUGUGGGAUUUGUUUUUUUCCCACCCAUCAUAUGGGUUCUGGAGAAGGUGCCUUUAACUACUCAGCUGUCAGGCCUUGCCCUGUCAUUCUGAGUUUUGACCAGAAAGAGAGGCUAUUGUUUUACCAGUUUCCCAUCCAAGGAAACUGGGGCAUAGGCAUGACGAUUGAUCAUGGUAGCUGCGGCUGUAGCUAGCAGAUGCCACAGAGCCCGGGCUUGAACCCUGAGCUGCUGGUUCUCUAGGCCACUGAGCUGCGACAUACAGACAUACAUCUUUCAUGUGAUAUAAUGGCUUCUGGGGGCAUGGAUGGGCUUCCCAAGUCACCAAUUCCAAGUUGGAGCUAUGCCUCAAUCUCAUGUUUGCUCUUUCUUUUUUUUUUUUUAUAUUAUGUAUUUUAAAGACAGGGUGUCAUACAUCCCAGGCUUGUUUCCAACUUCUUAUGUAGCUGAGAAUGGUCUUGAACUUCUGAUCCUUCGGCCUGUAACCCCUAAGUGCUGGGAUUAUAAGUAUCCAGCACAAGGCUAUGUUUAUGCUGGGGACUGAACCCACAGAUUUGUGCUUACUCGGUUAGGACUCUAUCAAUAGAGCUACAUCCUGGUCUUCUUCAUUAUUUUGAUGAAUAUUGUAUUUGAGGUGUUUUUGGGGGGAAGUAGGAUGAGGGUACAUGUAAAAAUAGUCUUAUGACAACCCCAGCA